rnacentral:tRNA from 1 species
AAAAAGGGAUGGGAAUCGAACCCACGACCUUCCGCUUACCGGGCAGAUGCCAUGACCACUAGGCUACCCUGGACAUAUU